CAGAGAGGCCAGGCAGUGGUGGCACACCUUUAAUCCCAGCACUAGGGAAAGUGGAGACAGGAAGGGAUAUGGCUGGGCAGAGAGAGGAAUAUAAAGCAGGAGGAGACAGGAGCUGAGAGCCCUUUCGGACUUAGGAUUCAGUAGAGGUAUGCUGAAAGAGUUAUGGGACCAUAAAGACCUCUACCAAGAUUACAGAAGAAAGCCUAGGAGGCCACUAACUGUGUGACAGUGUUGGCAUCCCCAUGGGCAGUCCCUAAAAGGAUGGUAUGUGAAGCUGUGACAGAAAAGGAGAAGAUGUAAUGGAGAUCACAGGAGAUAAAAGAUGACUAGGAACAUGAAACCUCUGCCAGAGAAAGGAGCAGGCAGGGUAAGUGGUAGGCAAGCUCUGUCCAGGACCACACUAACUGACGAAGUCCCAAGUGCUCAUGCUUCUCUAAGCUCCUCAGUUAGUCAUCAGAUAAUGUAUCAUAUACCUCGGCUGUAUCAAUCAUCUUCAAUUUUCAAAAAAAGGUACUGACUAAAAAGAUCUAAAAGAAGGGUCUCACUUUGUACCCCUGGCUGGUCUUGAAUUCACAGAACACUUCCUGUCUCAGCCUCCACAUUAAAAGAAUGUACACCACCACA